UAACAGUUCAUCUGUAUUUUUGUCCGAU
rnacentral:piRNA from 1 species